rnacentral:rRNA from 2 species
AAUGCAGUCGAGCGGAUGAGAAGAGCUUGCUCUUCGAUUCAGCGGCGGACGGGUGAGUAAUGCCUAGGAAUCUGCCUGGUAGUGGGGGACAACGUUUCGAAAGGAACGCUAAUACCGCAUACGUCCUACGGGAGAAAGCAGGGGACCUUCGGGCCUUGCGCUAUCAGAUGAGCCUAGGUCGGAUUAGCUAGUUGGUGAGGUAAUGGCUCACCAAGGCGACGAUCCGUAACUGGUCUGAGAGGAUGAUCAGUCACACUGGAACUGAGACACGGUCCAGACUCCUACGGGAGGCAGCAGUGGGGAAUAUUGGACAAUGGGCGAAAGCCUGAUCCAGCCAUGCCGCGUGUGUGAAGAAGGUCUUCGGAUUGUAAAGCACUUUAAGUUGGGAGGAAGGGCAUUAACCUAAUACGUUAGUGUUUUGACGUUACCGACAGAAUAACCACCGGCUAACUCUGUGCCAGCAGCCGCGGUAAUACAGAGGGUGCAAGCGUUAAUCGGAAUUACUGGGCGUAAAGCGCGCGUAGGUGGUUCGUUAAGUUGAAUGUGAAAUCCCCGGGCUCAACCUGGGAACUGCAUCCCAAAU